AACUAAGUUUGUUACUGGUAUGAACUUUCAUGUGCUUGCACACUUCUUCAGAUACACUGAAACAGAAGUCACCAGACCCUUAUAUAUAGUGAGAAGGUGAGGAGGGGUAUUAGUCAGAAGGGUGGUGGGAAUGGGUGAUUGACUGAUAGGUGUGGUAAACCUACAGGUCUGGUAACCUCUGUUGCAGUGUAUCUGAAGAAGUGUGAAUGCACACAAAAGCUCAUACCAAUAACAAACUUAGUCG